rnacentral:ncRNA from 1 species
AAAGUAACUUAACGGGUUUCUUCUUUCGUGGCUAUGGAGCUAAUACAUGCGGUUAAACCCUGACUUUCGAAAGAGUGCAAUUAUUAGAGCAAAUCAAUCAUUUUCGGAUGUAGUUUGCUGACUCUGAAUAACGCAGCGUAUCGGUGGCUUGUUCGCCAAUAAUCUGAAAAGUGUCUGCCCUAUCAACCUGACGGUAGUCUAUUAGUCUACCAUGGUUACUAUGGGUAACAGAGAAUAAGGAUUCGACUCCG